rnacentral:lncRNA from 1 species
UUGGUACACACAUUUAUUCAACAGAUAGUUCAAAAAGUCGUGCUACUCUCUAAGAAGAGGACGGGUAACACACAAACAGGUUGUAGAUGCAACCUAUGAACAUGCAAGUCCAUAAGCAGCAAGCAGCACUGCACGAUAGCGGUAGCAUCCUUAACAGCCCAACACCAUAGGCAAGUUGGGUGCGUAGGCGACCUCCUACUCGAACUUCACCAGGACGUAGUCCGGAUCUUCUUCUGUAUCAACAAAGUAAGGAUGAGUACAUACAUACUCAGCAAAUCCAACCCCACCCUACGGAAAGGGAUAAUGAAUACAUGCAUAGGGGUAAUCCAAGGAAUAGACCAAGGUUUAUUUUGCAGAAAGCAAUCUUUUAUACACAUGCAAGGUGUGAUUUUAUAAAACGAUUUUUGCAAAACACAUAUAUACCACAUUUAUAAUAGUUAUGAAAGAGACGGGUGAUCAUACACAAAGGAUCUAAGUUUUAAUUACUACUAGACACCCCGUUCAUGGUAGCACACGGCACACUUGUCGGAUAUUUUAAAAGUCUAAUUUUUCACCAAAAGGUUUCCCCAUCUUUCCCAAAUAGCUAGUUAUGUAACCAAGCCAUAACUCGUCCAAGACCGUGGACAUGGAUAUUCGAAUAGGUUUUAACUCUGCAGAGGUGUACACUUUACCCACAAGUAGGGUACCGUAACACAAACACCGUAGUGCCGGUGCGGAUCCAUCAAAGUCAUUACCCACCAUUGCACACUCCUGACUAGUCAUCCAUGAGAGCUAACCAAGAGGUUCCUAACCUUCCUACAAGGUCUUCAACCGGGCUACUAAUCCAAUACUUACUUACGCCUCUUCCUUAGCCUCCCAUUGCACACCUGCCUACGGACGACUAUCAGACUAGCUAGUGGGAUUUAAGCUAAGCUUUUGCCACACACAAAGAUUGAGUGGUUGUACAAUAAGUUGGGUUAGGCAAGAUGACACAUGAAUUCGAUCCUUAAUUAAGACAAGAUAGAUAUCUCUCAUACUUAACCACAUAGGCACGAGCCAAUACUCCAAGGCAUCCUACACAAGGAACCCUGAUCCGCCCCAUUUAAAUAAUCACCAACACCAGUUGUUUAUUAUCUCUUUUCCAAAAUCCCAACUCAUACUCACCCCAACAUACUCAACACAUUUUAUCUUUGUAAAACCAUUGCAUUUGUAAAACAAGCAACAAUGAUGUUGAGUAACCGGUUUCUAAGUGUAUUAAUUUCAAGGUAAUCGACUAACAGAGCGUAUUAUGCCCAGUGAUAAAUCCUAUGUCGUCAAGGUAUAAUCAAGAUAUAUCAACUCAAAGAGUGGCUAUCCAAUCGGGUUAUAACUAGAUCAAGUAGUAAAAUAAUCUGAGCAUAUAUAUAAUUGGAUGCAAUUUAUGAAAAAAAGAGGCUUCGACAUGUUGUGUUUGAAAACUGGAAUAAAUAUGACCAAAAGCGAAUAGGUUGGACUUGCCAUCUUCAAAGCCUUCCGAAAGCUCCUGCUCGUGGUACGGGUCUUCCGGCUCCGACUCGUGGUCCUGGCCUUCGUACUCUGGCUCGCGGUACUGGCCUCCAAACUGGUUUUCCUCCUCGAUCACUUCAUCGGCUACGGUGAUGACGGUGCAAAAGACAAAUAAACACAAGCAAGUAUAAACACAAAAUAAAAUGAGCUUAAACGGAGAGGAGAAUAGCUGGAUUAGAUAGAAUUUGAUUUUAGAGGAAUUUAGGAAAAGAAUCAAGUGAAUCAGAGUUUUGAUGUGUGAGAUAUGGCUGUGUAAAGAUUAGCUACUAAUUAAAUUACGAAAAUAGUUUAACAUAAUUGGACGGAAGCUUCACGGAUUAAACGAACGGAGGCUUCACGGGUUAAACAAGUACGUGCGGCUUUUUGCAUUUCGGGCUGUCUUUUGGAUUGGGCUGGCAAUACAUGGGCACCAAAGCCUGCUGGCUAGAUAAGGCUGCUCUAGGAUAAAAGAGUAGAGGGCCCCUGGCAGCACUGCCAUGAGCAGCGGCAGGAGCUCCACCGGAACAGCAGUCCCGGUCACCAUUUUCGAAUCCAAGGGUAUGGAUAGAGAGAGGAGUGGAUGGGGAUUCGAUUCUGGAGGUUCUUGGCCGAGGUGAGAGGGUGGAAGGAGGUCGGCCACAGGGGGCCAUGGAAGCGGUCCUGGAGUCCUUGGGGAGCUCGGUGUAGGCAAGGAUAUGGAGGGCCAUUGCUUGGGGAAGGUAGAGGAGGGUGUGGAGGUGCUCACCGAUGAACUAAUCGAGCUGUGGUGGCUUAUCGUCGGAGAUCGACGAGGGAGAGCGCAAGAAUAGAGGAGGGAGAAAUUUGAGUGAGGAGGGAGGUGAGCGGCGGAGCUGGGCGGCUCGGCGAGCUCGGGAAGGCGACGGAGAGCAGCUCGGGGUGGCUUUUAUAGGCGGCGAGGGCGGAGCUGUGCCAGCGGCUCACCUGCUCGCCAUGAAUGGCGACGCGUGUCUGGACGGCAGCUUGCAAGCAUCGGCUUGCUGCGGCGGUGACGCUGAGUCGACGCGGUUUUGACGGUGCGCGCGACGAGGCGGCAGCGUGGUUGAGGUGGGGACACGGCAAGGGGUGGCACGGCGUGGUGCCGGGCGGUAGGGCGUGGUCACCUCGCGGGGGCGGGUUGUCGCUCAAGCAGAACAGGGGGAGCACGGCAAGGGGGCCUAGCGUGUGGAGCUUUUGCACAUUGUACCAGUGUGAGCUGCUGUUGUGUGCUUUCGUGCGUGUUCUAGCUUGUGCAUGUUGAAGGACAUAGGAAGGGGACGACAAGCUUUCUCAAAGGACCAUACGUGAAGUAAAGGAUCAGCAGGUUGGCAGCUUCGGGAGAAUAGGAAGGUUAGAGAGAAAGUUAAAUGCCUGAAUUGAUUUGAAAAGGCAAAAGGAUUAAAG